rnacentral:lncRNA from 10 species
GAAAGGGGGUUGGGGGUUUGCAAAGGGAGUAGCCUCCAGUCCUUCUGUUACUUAGGUGUGGAAAGUUGGGGUUUUCCUUUUGAUUUAGUUCUACGAAGUCAGAGUGAAUCAGCCUUAGGUUCCCUGCCUCCAGACCCUAUUCUCCUGCCUCACAAGAGUUGAAGAAAGACCACCAACGUUGGUGCUCCUUGUUCUUGGACCUUCCAACUUGGACUGAAUUACACCGCUGGUUUUCCUGAUUCUCCAGGUUGCAGGUGGCAGGUUAUAGGACUUCUCGGCCUCUAUAAUCACGCUAUUUGGAAGAAUGCGAUUCAGGUACUUCCAGUCAGAUACAUCCGUGCAAGACUUGGAUAGAGAAGUAACAUAAGGAGGCAGCUGUGGGAAGACUGACCAUCUGCUUUGUGCCUGGAUACUAGCAGGAAGGAAGAGGAGGAGCAAGAAUGGAAGGCUUGUACCAACAAGUUCUUAUCCUUUUUAAUGAGGAAAACAAGAGCAUCCCUAUUCUGCUCUUAUCUCACCGAGUUCCAUGGCCAUUCUGAGCUGCAGUGGAGUCUUGGGAGAAUUUGUAUGUGUUGAAGUUGGUGGAUAGACAUGAGAAGCAGAUUGAGGGAUCUGUGGAAAGGGAGAGGAAGAGGAGGAGGGGGCUGUCAGAGGAGUAAUGGAUGCUAGAGGAAUGGAUUCCCUCCAGUUUUAGUAAAUAUAGGACAUUUGGCUGGAUUCAAAGAACUUUGAAGCCCAAGGGGAUGGAGGAACCACGGGAUGGAAGGUGCCUGAAUCCUGAAUGACUGUGUGGACAGUUUAUAAACAUUUGGGCAGUGCCAUCUCUAUCACAUAAAUUUAUUUUGUCUUCUUUUAUUUCUUCUUACCUUCCCAUGAUUUUCCUGGGUGAAUGGCUAAUUAGAAGAGUAAGAUGAGGUAGAGGGUGGAAUAGAGAGAUUGUAAAUUCUGCUUUGGGGAUAUUAAUCUGAGUUGUGUGUGAGAUGUUCAAGUGAAGAUGUCAAGCAAAAAUUUAGAUAUUUGCACCCCAGUGUGGUGGCUCACACCUGUAAUACCAGUACUUUGAGAGGCUGAGGCGGGUGGAUCACUAGAGGUCAGGAGUUGGACACCAUCCUGACAAACAUGUUGAAACCCUGUCUCCACUAAAAAUACAAAAAUUAGCCGGGCGUGGUUAUGGGUGCCUGUAAUCCCAGCUACUUGGGAGGCUGAGGCAGGAGAAUCGCUUGAACCUAGGAGGCAGAGGUUGCAGUGAGCCAAGAUCAUGCCAUUGCACUCCAGCCUGGGCAAUAAGAGCAAAACUUGUCUCAAAAAAAAUUUAGAUAUUUGCCUAUGGAUUUCAGAGGAGAAAUGCGGCAAGAGCAAAAGUUUCAGAGUCAAUAACCUAAUACUUGCAUUUAGCUCCAAAAGAAUUGUUGAAAUUAUAUAGGGAAAGAGGGUAGAGAAUAAAGAAGUGCCUGAAGUUGAGACUUAAGAUUCCUCAACAUUUAGAGUUUGAGUAGGAAUGGAGUUCAAGAAAGAGCAGAAGGAAAAGUAGAAGGGAUAUCAGGAGAGCAUGAGGUCAGAGAAGCCAAGAGAGAAAUAUUGUGCAAGAUGGAAGAUGUGGCCACCAUUAUGAGUUCUACUGACUGGUAAAGUAACCGUGGGAGCCAUCAGUGGCCUUGACAAGAGACAUUUCCUGGGAUGAUGGUUGGAACCUAGACUAGAGCAGAUUGAGGAGACAACCAGUAGUAAGGCUACAGAGAAAAGGGAACACUUACACACUGUUGGUGGGAAUGUAAAUUGGUUCAUCCACUGUGGAAAACAGUUUGGAGAUUUCUCAAAGAACUUAAAACAGAACUACCAUUUGACUCAGCAAUCCCAUUACUGGGUAUAUAUCCAAAGAAAAUAAAUCAUCCUAACAAAAAGACGCAUUUUCUCAUAUGUUCAUCACAAUACUAUUCACAAUACCAAAGACAUAGAAUCAACCUAAUACUCAUCAACAGUGGAUUGGAAAAAGAAAAUGUAGUAAUAUAUACCAUGAAGUACCACAGAGCCAUAAAAAAGAAUGAAAUCAUGUCCUUUGCAGCAACAUGGAUAGAGCUGGAGGCCAUUAUCCUAAGUGAAUUAUGCAGGAGCAGAACACCAACUAUCACAUAUUCUCAUUUAUAAGGGGGAGCUAAACAUUAGGUUCUCAUAGACAUAAAGAUGGCAAUAAUAGACACUGAAGACUACUGGAGGGAGGGGGUGAAAGGGGGAAGAGUUGAAAAACUAACUGUUGGGUACUAUACUCUGUACUGGGCGAUGGGAUCAUCUGUAUCCUAAACUUCAACAUCAUGCAAUAUAACCUAAUAACAAAUCUGCACUCCCUGAACCUAAA